rnacentral:rRNA from 1 species
UGGUGGAUUGAUUUGUCUGCUUAAUUGCGAUAACGAACGAGACCUUAACCUGCUAAAUAGCUACGCGAACCCUAGGUUCGUGGCCAGCUUCUUAGAGGGACUAUAUAAGACAAUUAUAUGGAAGUUUGAGGCAAUAACA